rnacentral:rRNA from 1 species
CUGCUAACCAAUAGGAGGUCCAGCCUGCCCAGUGACCUAAAGUUCAACGGCCGCGGUAUCCUAACCGUGCAAAGGUAGCGUAAUCACUUGUCUUCUAAAUAAGGACUAGUAUGAAAGGCACCACGAGGGUUAAACUGUCUCCCCUUUCCAAUCAGUGAAUUUAACCUUCCCGUGAAAAGGCGGGAAUUUUUUAAUAAGACGAGAAGACCCUGUGGAGCUUAAAACAUUACCACAUUUGCUCAGACAACCUAAAAUUUAAUCUUAGCACUAUGUUUAUAUGUUUUUGGUUGGGGUGACCACGGAGAAAAAAUAAUCCUCCGUAAUGAAAGAGAAACUCUAAACAACAAGCCACAGCUUUACGUAUCAAUAAAUUGACAUCUAUUGACCCAAUAUAUUGACCAAUGAAC